rnacentral:rRNA from 1 species
GACGAACGCUGGCGGCGUGCUUAACACAUGCAAGUCGAACGGAAAGGCCCUGCUUGCAGGGUACUCGAGUGGCGAACGGGUGAGUAACACGUGGGUGAUCUGCCCUGCACUUCGGGAUAAGCCUGGGAAACUGGGUCUAAUACCGGAUAGGAGCCAUUUUUAGUGUGAUGGUUGGAAAGUUUUUUCGGUGUAGGAUGAGCUCGCGGCCUAUCAGCUUGUUGGUGGGGUAAUGGCCUACCAAGGCGGCGACGGGUAGCCGGCCUGAGAGGGUGGACGGCCAAAUUGGGACUGAGAUACGGCCCAGACUCCUACGGGGGGCAGAAGUGGGGAAUAUUGAACAAUGGGCGCAAGCCUGAUGCAGCGACGCCGCGUGGGGGAUGACGGCCUUCGGGUUGUAAACUCCUUUCGCUAGGGACGAAGCUUUUUGUGACGGUACCUAGAUAAGAAGCACCGGCUAACUACGUG